GACGAGGGGUCCUAGCGUUGUUCGGAAUCAUUGGGCGUAAAGCGUAUGUAGGCGGCCUUACAAGUCAGUUGUGAAAGCCCCGGGCUCAACCCGGGAAGUGCUUCUGAUACUGUUUGGCUUGAAUAUUGGAGAGGAUAGUAGAAUUCCAGGUGUAGUGGUGAAAUACGUAGAUAUCUGGAGGAAUACCGGUGGCGAAGGCAGGUCUCUGGGCAUUAACUGACGCUGAGGAGCGAAAGCAUGGGGAGCGAACAGG
rnacentral:rRNA from 1 species